rnacentral:rRNA from 1 species
AGAGUUUGAUCCUGGCUCAGGAUGAACGUUGGCGGCGUGCCUAACACAUGCAAGUCGAACGGAAGUAGCAAUACUUCAGUGGCGCACGGGUGAGUAACACGUAGCUUACCCUCCUCCGAGAGUGGGAUAACGUUCCGAAAGGAAUGCUAAUACCGCAUAAGCUCACGGACUAUAGAGGUCAGUGAGAAAAGGGGCAACUCGCUUGGAGACGGGGCUGCGGCCCAUCAGCUAGUUGGUGAGGUAACGGCUUACCAAGGCGACGACGGGUAGGGGACCUGAGAGGGUGACCCCCCACACUGGGACUGAGACACGGCCCAGACUCCUACGGGAGGCAGCAGUGAGGAAUAUUGCACAAUGGGCGCAAGCCUGAUGCAGCGACGCCGCGUGAGUGAAGAAGGCCUUCGGGUCGUAAAGCUCUUUUCUGCGUGACGAGCAAGGACGGUAGCGCAGGAAUAAGUCUCGGCUAACUACGUGCCAGCAGCCGCGGUAAAACGUAGGAGACAAACGUUAUCCGGAGUUACUGGGCGUAAAGGGCGUGCAGGUGGUCUGUUAAGUCUGGCGUGAAAGCUCCUGGCUAAACCGGGAGAGGUCGUUGGAUACUGGCGGACUAGAGGACGGUAGAGGCGUGUGGAAUUCCGGGUGUAGUGGUGAAAUGCGUAGAGAUCCGGAGGAACACCAGUGGCGAAGGCGACACGCUGGGCCGUACCUGACACUGAUACGCGACAGCAUGGGGAGCGAACGGGAUUAGAAACCCCGGUAGUCCAUGCCGUAAACGAUGCCAGCUAGAUGUUCAAUUUCCGCAAGGGAAUGGGGUAUCGAAGCUAACGCGGUAAGCUGGCCGCCUGGGGAGUACGGUCGCAAGGCUAAAACUCAAAGGAAUUGACGG